rnacentral:tRNA from 1 species
CCAAUCUAGUUGAUUAUGACGACUGCUUAACACGCAGUAGGUCCCGAGUUCGAUUCUCGGUUGCAGUA